rnacentral:rRNA from 1 species
UACGUAGGGUGCAAGCGUUGUCCGGAAUUAUUGGGCGUAAAGAGCUUGUAGGCGGUUUGUCGCGUCUGCUGUGAAAUUUCGGGGCUCAACCCCGGACUUGCAGUGGGUACGGGCAGACUAGAGUGUGGUAGGGGAGACUGGAAUUCCUGGUGUAGCGGUGAAAUGCGCAGAUAUCAGGAGGAACACCGGUGGCGAAGGCGGGUCUCUGGGCCGAAAUUGACGCUGAGGAGCGAAAGCGUGGGGAGCAAACAGG